rnacentral:rRNA from 1 species
UACGGAGGGUGCAAGCGUUGUCCGGAAUCACUGGGCGUAAAGGGCGCGUAGGCGGCUCAUGAAGGCUGUGGUGAAAGUCCGGGGCUCAACCUCGGAUCGGCCGUGGCGACUCGUGGGCUGGAGCACUGUAGAGGCGGGUGGAAUUCCGGGUGUAGCGGUGGAAUGCGUAGAGAUCGGGAGGAACACCAGAGGCGAAGGCGGCAAGCUGGAUGGGCACUGACACUCAACUGCGAAAGCGUGGGGAGCAAACAGG